UAAUUGUGGCUUUUGGAACUGCCAUAAUUUUUUUUAACUUGAGUGAUGUUGCAUAUGAGAGUGUUAGUAUUGUUGCAUAUGAGAAAGUGAAGAUGAUGUCACUGACAAACCCUAAUUUCUUGCCUUUGUUCAUCUUCUACUGAUUUGUCAUUCAACUCCUCGCUGUCGCUCCUCAUCCCCUUGUUGCAGCUCAUCUCCUCGCUGCUACAAGCAACGCCAUUGUCGUUGCCUUCAUUGAGCUUCUAUGAUUUGGCUUCGAUCUGAAGAUUUGUCAACGUUCGUCGGAGCUCCGAUUUCUUCGUUUCUUUAAUUCACAUAUUCUAUCUCUCUCUCUCUCUCUCUCUCUCUCUCUCUCUCUCUCUCUCUCUCUCUCUCUCUCUCUCUGACGUUUAGCUUCUUCUCCUCGGAGCUCCGAAAAAACCACCACAGUCACCACCAGCACUAAGCUUCACCAUGGAAGGCGGCGGAGCAACGCUAUCGGAUGUUUACCAAAGCGCGAAGAAGCUCCUCAAUACGCGCGACGACGUGGAAUGCCUCGAGUGCCUCGACUACUCCGCCUCCUCCGAUCUCUCCCUCUCCCUCUCCAACGACAUCUCUCAGAUCCAAUCCCUAUGCGUCCAGAUGGAUCGAUUCUGGCGCUCCACUGCCGCCAAAUCUCAACGCGAUCUCUGGAAAAGGCUAUGAUUGUUCUGAAAUAAACGCAGUAUCUGCAAUCGAUGAAAUAAAUUGCCUUUUGGUUGAGAGGUAAAAGUUUAAUUCCUUUUGGUUGAGAAGGUAAACAUUUAAUUCCUUUUGGUAGAAAGCUAGGUUCUGUUUGUUGGGAGAAAGAAGGGAUUGAGGGAGGUAUGCUAGCUUUUCCUACAAAUGAAUGAAUGGAUUGUAUAGUGAUUAUUCUGCAGAUGCUCACCACUUUAUCGACUUAUGGUAACAUCCUUAUGAUUUUGCAGAGAAAAGCAUAGCCUUGAGAAAAACUAAGUCUCAAAUUUUUACAAACAGUUCUGUAAGUUUAAGUUACUAUUUCUAUACUUUAAAAUGCAUUCAUUUUAAUGCAUUUUUCAUCAAGUUCUGUUUCUACUCUGUAUAAUUUUGACAUAGAUGCUGCAAUUGAAAGCUUUAAAAAUGCACUGGUCUUAGAGCCAAAUGAUGGUAAGUUGUGAUUUUGUAUAAGGCCUUAGUUAGACAAGAACUACUAGUGUACUUAUAUAGGUGGACAUUUAAUUUUGUUACUUACAACUGGGAUUAAGAAGGAACUUGCUGCUGCCAAGAAAAAUGUGAGUGUAUAUCUAAGUUGAGCAAGCUUGAAGGUGCAUUAUAAGCGUAUUGCGAAUUUAACUGGUUAUAUUAUAUUGUAGGUUGCUGAUAGGCGUGACCAGGAGAAAAAGGCAUAUAGCAAGGAGUUAAAAUUACAAUCAGCAAAACAGAAAGAAAUAGCCGAGUCUGAGAAGGAAGUAUCUAAUCGAAUCAGGAAUCUGUACAAGAAAGAAUAUGCAAAAAAACAGAGUAGGCAAGUACGGUUGUGCACUAAAACUCCACCUUCGAGUAAAAAAAGAUUCUGGGGAGAUGGACCAUGUUACAAUGUGUCAAAUUUGAUGAGCAACAUAAUGAAGAAGUCAAAGAUAGAAUUUCUAAAGAGGUAACUUAUAAUGCUAGAUAGAUUUAUGUGGUUCCUUUUUAUUUUUCUUACUUCUUUUCCCUUUUCAGAUUAGAAGCUUUGAUUCUAUCUAACUCUUCAUGAAGAAUUGAAGGGUUUAAUUGAUGAUGGGUAGAUAUUAGCUUAUCCUAAUUUAUACGUGUAUUAUAUAUAUUAUUGUGGCAAUAAUGAUAGAUGGAUAAUUAGUCUUCAAUUCUAAUGUUUGUUUCGCCGGCCUGAGCAUAAAUUUUCUUGAUCCCUUAGCUUUUUCAUUCAUUGUACUGUUUUAAUUAUUAAGAACCCAAAAUGCCUAACUGGCUACCUAGUGAGUUUAAUUUAAUUUAGAUGAAUAAGUGAAGGUAGGUUAAGUUAUGUCUAAUUUGUGAUUAAUUUGAUGUUAGUAGUGUUUAGAUUGUGGCAGCAAACUUUUGGUGAUGAUGAGGGUCCACUGAAAUGAAACAACAUUGUGAAAUUCAAUUUCGUAGUAAUGUGUAGGUCAUGGUUUAAAGUAAUAUUAAUGAAGACAUGCCAAUACCAUUAUUAUACCAUCAAACACGGAGCAUCUCACUGUUCCCUAAGGUUUCCUUCAUUUUUUAUUACAACAAUAAUAUAUAGUUCAUGAUUAACCUUCACAAAUACUAUCAUUAUGUUUGCUACGUGCUAAUAUUUCAAUACUUUUCCCUUAAUUAACAAUAACAAUAAACUGUUUGUUAGUUUUUAAUCCUAAUAAUGUAGGAAAAUCCCAUACCUCCCUAAUAAGUUGCUUGGUUAAAUUUAUUUUGUGUUGUCCAAGUUAAUGGUUUAACUAGUUUAACUAUUAAUUGUUAACUCUUUGAUUCUUUUUUUUUUCUUUUUGUUAAAAUAUUGUUUCUAAUGACAUCUUUUCAUUGUUAUAAUUUUAAUUUAUAACGGCCGGCUUGAUAGAAAUUCCAUGAUAGGAGAGGUUCCUACAAAUCUUUGUAAGAGAUGAGUUUGGAUAAUGAAGUUGGAGUGUUGGAGCAAGAAACAAAGAUGUUGGAGCAAAUUCCCGAGAUGAAACUCACACAAGAGACCAAGAAACUAAGGCAGGCUUGUUUUAAAGUUAAUUACAAAAGGAGAAAACUUUUGGCCUCCAAAUCUUAUUCAUUAUCACUUAGCUAAGCUAUUUGUCUUGUAUAUUCAUAUUCUAAGUAGUAAAAACAACACUUAUUAGAUGGUUUAAAUACAUUAUUAGGUAUUAACAUAGUUUAGGGAAUUGGAUGAUAGAUUUGACUGAUUAGUGUUUAUUGCAAUGGUUGUAUUUUGGCAAGUUUAGUAAGACAAGGUUUUGUAUAGGAGUUAUUACUUUUGAUUUUUAAUAAUAAAAAAUUAUAUAUUAUA